AGGAAUAUUGGUCAAUGGGCGAGAGCCUGAACCAGCCAAGUAGCGUGAAGGAUGACUGCCCUAUGGGUUGUAAACUUCUUUUAUAAAGGAAUAAAGUCGGGUAUGGAUACCCGUUUGCAUGUACUUUAUGAAUAAGGAUCGGCUAACUCCGUGCCAGCAGCCGCGGUAAUACGGAGGAUCCGAGCGUUAUCCGGAUUUAUUGGGUUUAAAGGGAGCGUAGAUGGAUAUUUAAGUCAGUUGUGAAAGUUUGCGGCUCAACCGUAAAAUUGCAGUUGAUACUGGAUAUCUUGAGUGCAGUUGAGGCAGGCGGAAUUCGUGGUGUAGCGGUGAAAUGCUUAGAUAUCACGAAGAACUCCGAUUGCGAAGGCAGCCUGCUAAGCUGCAACUGACAUUGAGGCUCGAAAGUGUGGGUAUCAAACAGGAUUAGAUACCCUGGUAGUCCACACGGUAAACGAUGAAUACUCGCUGUUUGCGAUAUACUGCAAGCGGCCAAGCGAAAGCGUUAAGUAUUCCACCUGGGGAGUACGCCGGCAACGGUGAAACUCAAAGGAAUUGACGGGGGCCCGCACAAGCGGAGGAACAUGUGGUUUAAUUCGAUGAUACGCGAGGAACCUUACCCGGGCUUAAAUUGCAGAUGAAUUACGGUGAAAGCCGUAAGCCGCAAGGCAUCUGUGAAGGUGCUGCAUGGUUGUCGUCAGCUCGUGCCGUGAGGUGUCGGCUUAAGUGCCAUAACGAGCGCAACCCUUGUUGUCAGUUACUAACAGGUUUUGCUGAGGACUCUGACAAGACUGCCAUCGUAAGAUGUGAGGAAGGUGGGGAUGACGUCAAAUCAGCACGGCCCUUACGUCCGGGGCUACACACGUGUUACAAUGGGGGGUACAGAGGGCCGCUACCACGCGAGUGGAUGCCAAUCCCAAAAACCUCUCUCAGUUCGGACUGGAGUCUGCAACCCGACUCCACGAAGCUGGAUUCGCUAGUAAUCGCGCAUCAGCCACGGCGCGGUGAAUACGUUCCCG
rnacentral:rRNA from 1 species